AUUGAACGCUGGCGGCAGGCUUAACACAUGCAAGUCGAACGCGUGGCGGACGGGUGAGUAAUGCUUGGGAAACUGGCUGAUGGAGGGGGAUAACUACUGGAAACGGUAGAUAAUACCGCAUACCCUCGGAUGAGCCCAGGUGGGAUUAGGUAGUUGGUGGGGUAACGGCGCACCAAGCCGAAGAUCGCUAGCUGGUCUGAGAGGAUGACCAGCCACACUGGAACUGAGACACGGUCCAUACUCCUACGGGAGGCAGAAGUGGGGAAGAUUGCACAAUGGGCGCAAGCCUGAUACAGCCAUGCCGCGUGUAUGAAGAAGGCCUUCGGGUUGUAAAGUUCUUUCAGCAGCGAGGCGUUAACUGCAGAAGAAGCACCGGCUAACUCCGUGCCAGCAGCCGCGGUAAUUC
rnacentral:rRNA from 1 species